rnacentral:rRNA from 1 species
GUGGGGAAUAUUGGACAAUGGGGGGAACCCUGAUCCAGCCAUGCCGCGUGUGUGAAGAAGGCCUUUUGGUUGUAAAGCACUUUAAGCGAGGAGGAGGCUACCGAGAUUAAUACUCUUGGAUAGUGGACGUUACUCGCAGAAUAAGCACCGGCUAACUCUGUGCCAGCAGCCGCGGUAAUACAGAGGGUGCAAGCGUUAAUCGGAUUUACUGGGCGUAAAGCGCGCGUAGGUGGCAAAUUAAGUCAAAUGUGAAAUCCCCGAGCUUAACUUGGGAAUUGCAUUCGAUACUGGUUGGCUAGAGUAUGGGAGAGGAUGGUAGAAUUCCAGGUGUAGCGGUGAAAUGCGUAGAGAUCUGGAGGAAUACCGAUGGCGAAGGCAGCCAUCUGGCCUAAUACUGACACUGAGGUGCGAAAGCAUGGGGAGCAAACAGGAUUAGAAACCCUUGUAGUCC